AUCGAAGGUGGGUUCCCGUCGUUUUCGUCGGCCGGUGACCGUAUCGCAUUCUUCACAUACACUGGUGUCUACGUCGUGAACGCUAGACAGCUGAAGUUGCCAAAAGACAAGCACGUGUGCGAGAAGCACCAUUCCCAGAAAAUGCCGCAAAUAUCCAAUUAGCAGAAGCAAGGAUGCACGAGUUGAAAGCGAAUAUGUCAGUUUUUGGAUCGGAAUGAGAAGUAUCACUCAAUAAAGUAAAGAGAGAAAUUGGUAAGGAGAUGUUGAUUAGCAGUUGCUAGAUUAAGGGAAACUCAUCUGGUUUUAGUGGGUGGUGCCAUUACGAAGGCAUUAUCAACGCGGUGGAA